UAAAAGCUUAGGUUAAAUUAAACCAGAGGCCUUCAAAGCCCCAAACAAGGACCACCCCCUUAGCUUUUG
rnacentral:tRNA from 2 species